UACAGAGGUGGCAAGCGUUGUUCGGAAUUACUGGGCGUAAAGGGCGCGUAGGCGGUUCGAUAAGUCCCGUGUGAAAUCCCUCGGCUCAACUGAGGAACUGCACGGGAAACUGACGGGCUUGAGUUCGGGAGAGGGAAGCGGAAUUCCGGGUGUAGCGGUGAAAUGCGCAGAUAUCAGGAGGAACACCGGUGGCGAAGGCGGUUCUCUGGGCAUUACCUGACGCUGAGGAGCGAAAGUGUGGGGAGCGAACAGG
rnacentral:rRNA from 1 species